AUGUGUGUGUAUAUACUUUACAUACGCUUAUUCUUUACAACUAGUUUAAUUUGCAAAACAUUAAGACCAUUUGUAUGAGAUUAUUUUUAUGGCAAUAAAUAAAACUUAAAAAGUACAAUAAAUAUAGAAGAUAAUUUACUUCAAAAAAAAAAAAAAAAAAAUAACAUAACAUAACAUAGCAUAGCACAAAAUGAUGAUAUAUGUGUGUGUAAUACAUAAAUAAAAAGUGUUUAAAAAGUGUUUAAAUUUUUUUUUUUUUUAAAUAAAAAACUUAUAAACAUUGGAAUUAUAAUUUAAUUUAAAAUAUUUCUAACUGCUUAACUUUUUUUUUUUUUUAUAUACACAUUUAUGUGUGAAAAAAAAAAAAUAAAAAAAAAACACAAUGUGAUUAUAAUUAACAUUAGCAUUACAUAUGUGAAGUGUUAAGUUAGUAUAAGAGAUAGGCAAAAUGCACAUAUAUAGAUAUAUGUCUUAAAAUGCAAUAUAUAAUAAUAUGUAAAACUAAGGGAAGUAUAUGAGCCAUUCCAAUGUUUAUUUUUUAUUUUUAUUUUUUUUUUUUUGUUGUCGUAAAAUACAAUAAAUAUUAAUCACUGUAACAUGGGUCAAACGAAUGGAAAAAAACCGCCUGAUUAUUCAUGGAACAAAUGAAUGGUUAAUAGAUAAAAAAAAAGAUAUAUCUUUGUUAAACAUAAAAUCUGAUAAACGCAUUAAAAAUGUAUAUAAUGGUCCAAACAAUAUAAUAGUUAUAUAUGAAAAUGAUGAUUUUGAAAUAGCCGGGUUAAAUGCUCAUGGUGAAUUGGGUUUAGGUGAUAAAAUAAGUAGAAAUAAAUUAACGAUAAAUUCUAUACUUUCUAAACAAAAAGUUUUAAAAAUUGCAUGUGGAGAUAAACAUAUAAUCGUUUUAAUGUUAAAUAAUAAUAUAUUUGGUUGGGGUGAUAAUACAAAUGGUCAGUUAGGUAUAGGAUAUAGUACUAAAGAAAUAUUAUCUCCUUUACUUAUUUAUUUUAAUGAUAAGGUUGUUGAUAUUGCAUGUGGUUAUGACCAUUCUUUAUUUUUAACAGAGUGUGAAUAUAAAAAUGAGGGGAUUAGUGACAGUAGUGGAGGGAGUAGUGGAAGUAGUAUUGACAGUAGUAACGAUAGUAGUAAUGACAGUAGUAAUGACAGUAGUAAUGACAGUAGUAAUGACAGUAAUAGGGAUGACUCAAAGGAUGUUAUAAAAGAACAUAAAAUAAACACCUCGGUUGUAAAGGGGACUACAAAAAAAAAACUACUUAAACACAGUUG
rnacentral:lncRNA from 1 species